rnacentral:rRNA from 1 species
UACGGGGGGGCAAGCGUUGUUCGGAAUUACUGGGCGUAAAGGGCGCGUAGGUGGUUCUGUAUGUCUACCGUGAAAGCGUACGGCUCAACCGUAUUUGUCGGUGGAACUGCAGGACUUGAGGCUGGGAGGGCUGGUGGAAUUCCCUGUGUAGCGGUGAAAUGCGUAGAGAUGGGGAGAACACUCGUGGCGAAGGCGGCUCUCUGGGACGGUACUGACGCUGAGACGCGAAAGCGUGGGGAGCGAACAGG